CAGACGCGACAUUCUCUCGGAUGGCCGGUCGUCGUGGAGACGGGACCCUCGCGCCGAUGAGGGUAACACGGAGGGGCUGUUCCACGGGAAGAAUGGGGUAACAAGUAAUCCGGGGUGGAUUAAACGCUCUGCGCCGUCGUGAACCGUACUGAAUGAGGUCAAGAGUGUGUUCUACUCAUUCAGGGAGGCUUUUAGAAAGAACUUUCUGAAGCUGAUUUUUUGGAACGGUCUUGAAGUUAGUCGUGUGUUAAACCUCAGAACACAAGGGGUGACUGAAUUCUGGUUAUACCAGCUGAUAUACAGUUCCUCUGAGGGAGAUGGAAGCUCAGCGUGGGAUCGCCGUGGAAACCCUCUCAGAGCCGCUCCAGAUCCCCGCCGGCUCGCCGGAACCGACCGCGUCCCUCUGGACAUCCGCUCGUUAGCCCGCGCUCCGUCACCGUCUCCACGACAACGCUGACCUCUGACCUUCUCACAUCCUACCGGCUGAAUAGCAGAGCCAGAGUCCCAAACCGGUCCAAAACCAACAGCGGCCAGGGGUCUGACGGGAUGAACGUGCGCACGAACCCCGCCGACUCGAUAAAACCAGCAGAACGCGCGCGCACUUUUUUAAAUAAAAGAAGCGCGAAAGUCGCCAAAAAGCCGUUGGCGUUCAGCAGGGUCGUUGAGGGCUCAGAUCUCUGAUACUGUGUAAUCUAAAUGUAAAAUCAAUUAUUUAAAAAGGCAUUGCCUUUUAAUGUUCAAGCCAGUUAGUUAAUCAGAGAAGAGAAUACAUUUCAGAGAUUAAGAGAUUUCAUUAUAUUUAAUAAUUAAUCAGGGAAGUAUUUGUAUGUCUCUGCUGCCCUCUGGUGGUGAAGUUAAAGACUUGCAUACUGCUCUCUUUAGUACACACUACUACACUCCUGUUUUUCAUGAAGUAUAGUAAUUAAACACGGGCACAGUAUAUACUAUAUAAUGCAGAAAUACAGUAUGAUAGCAUGUUUAUUCUGAAUGGUAAUUUUCCCAUCAUGUCAAAACUAUACAUUGAACUUUUUAUUCCCCUAAUAAAGCUCCUUAACAUUGUCUUUUAUUUUAAAGCGAAUUUCACGAAGUACAUUUUGGUGCAGUAUCACUGAAUUAGACUUAAAGAAAGAACAAGCCGUGCUUCUGAGAGGGAAAUCAUUUAAUUUCAUUUUUAAAUAAUCUGUAAAUAACAAGAACAACAUGUACAGUUAUCACCGCGAGUACGAGAGAAUAGAAAGAUCCCAAAUGAAGAACUGAACUGAUCGAGUCUGGUACAGAAACACCGGUCACGUGACUGCUUUAAAAAGUUACUUGUCCAUAUAAAGAGGGGGAAAGAACAUCGUCAAGCUCCGGUCCAAUCACACGCUGAUUAUACAGUAACUAUGGCAACCGGCUCCAUCCCAUAAUGAAUUCAUGCAAAGGGGGGAAAGCGCGUGACUCCCCAGCAAACAAAUGAGCGCGACGCCGUUACAAAUGAUUUAAAAAAAAUCAAAACAAACAUUAUGGCCACAUGUAAUUAGACAUAAAAAAAUAAUAAUAAAAUCAACACGCGUACAGAAGUCGAGUAGAGCCCAGAGGAGCUCGUGUCCAUGAAGAAAAGCAGAAAAACUAACGUUCUGCGAUCAGCGUUCAAUUAAGUAACGCAACGCAACAAAGUGACGUCAGACCGCACUGCACACAAAGUCUCGCGAUAGUUGGAAUCCUCUUUACCAACCAAGCGAAUAAAGAAAAUGACUUCAUUAGUAUAAAUUCGUAAAACGAUGUCGUUACAAUCAACAAAGUUGAUUUGGUUACACCGACUUCUAAGAGACGUCUAGUCCACGUUAAGCAGCAAAGUCAAUUGCGAUCAGAACUUCACGAGAACGACUUCCGUUCAAAUCUGAAGUGAACUUCAACCAUUCGUCAAGAGCGACGUCAAAGGCGUUUCUGAACGUGAUCACGCAACCAAACUGCGUGAAAACCGCGCUGCUGUUAAUUAUGAAUAUUACUUCAUAGGUUGACUUUGCAAACUACUUUGUGAAAAUCAACUUUAUCAUACUAUUUUAUGUUAUUUACUUCGUAAAUACCCGCUAGCGUCAACAAAGCUGUUAGCGUCACUUCUCAACGACAGUAAUAUCGUAGUAAAAACACCUUUUGUAAGUAAGGUUAUCGCUGUAACCAGUGUCGUAACAUCUAAGUGAAGUGUAACACGACUUCGUAACACGUGCAGCGGCGUCCAUGGCCGCCAUUUUGUUGCAUUGAGUCGUUCGCUGCCAUGAACUCAAGACUAGGGUGAAUAUAAAGUGAUCAACAGCUGCGAAAAAUCAACAGAGUAAACCUUCGGCAUUUAUAAAGUAAAUAUUCUAGUCUACUUGACGGCCAACAAACACCAUCACACACACACUCUCUCUCACUCUCACACACACACACACACACACAAUCCAUUUGUUCAGAUUGCUGUGAUAUGAGCGGGGUCUUCUUUAUUAUUAUUAUUAUCAUUAUUUUUUAUCAUCGUAGGACGCUAAUCACACUAAGACAAACACCGUGACGCUCGGGAGGGAGAUCUCAUUUGGUUUAAGUUGCUAUUUACAUAAUCCAGUUGAAAAACACUGU